GGGUAUGGGGCGGGGGAAGUCCGUGAUGGACAGUUCCUGAUUGGGAAGUUCCUGGGUGGAGAGCUUCAGUUUCCUGGCGGUGACGUGGAGGCUGCAGUGAGGGUGGCGGGAAAGUCCGCCAUCUUGGAGAGGGUCAGUGGGAAGAUCCGCCAUUUUGGAGCCCCGGUUUCCCAGCUGGCCCAUCAGAUACUUACUCCUGAAUUAAGGAGAGGGAGU